rnacentral:rRNA from 1 species
CGGGCGCUACGGCGCUAGUGGCGGACGGGUGAGUAACACGUGAGAAUCUGGCUUCAGGACGGGGAUAACAAUUGGAAACGAUUGCUAAUACCGGAUGUGCCGAGAGGUGAAAGAUUUAUCGCCUGAAGAUGAGCUCGCGGCUGAUUAGCUAGUUGGUGAGGUAAGAGCUCACCAAGGCGACGAUCAGUAGCUGGUCUAAGAGGAUGAUCAGCCACACUGGGACUGAGACACGGCCCAGGCUCCUACGGGAGGCAGCAGUGGGGAAUUUUCCGCAAUGGGCGCAAGCCUGACGGAGCAAUACCGCGUGGGGGAAGAAGGCCUGUGGGUCGUAAACUCCUUUUGUCAGGGAAGAAGACUGACGGUACCUGACGAAUCGGCAUCGGCUAACUCCGUGCCAGCAGCCGCGGUAAUACGGAGGAUGCAAGCGUUAUCCGGAAUUAUUGGGCGUAAAGCGUCCGCAGGUGGCGAGUCAAGUCUGCUGUCAAAGGUCAGGGCUCAACUCUGAAUCGGCAGUGGAAACUAGCUUGCUAGAGUACGGUAGGGGUAGAGGGAAUUCCCAGUGUAGCGGUGAAAUGCGUAGAUAUUGGGAAGAACACCGGUGGCGAAAGCGCUCUACUGGGCCGAGACUGACACUGAGGGACGAAAGCUAGGGGAGCGAAAGGGAUUAGAUACCCCUGUAGUCCUAGCUGUAAACGAUGGACACUAGGUGUUGGCCGUAUCGACCCGGUCAGUACCGUAGCUAACGCGUUAAGUGUCCCGCCUGGGGAGUACGCACGCAAGUGUGAAACUCAAAGGAAUUGACGGGGGCCCGCACAAGCGGUGGAGUAUGUGGUUUAAUUCGAUGCAACGCGAAGAACCUUACCAGGGCUUGACAUGUCCGGCAUCCUGCCGAAAUGUGGGAGUGCCUUCGGGAACCGGAACACAGUGGUGCAUGGCUGUCGUCAGCUCGUGUCGUGAGAUGUUGGGU